GAUGUGCAUCUUCAGAGCUACAGAAUGUUUUAAUUAUUGAAGAAAGAGUGGGUUUCACCGGGAACGUCAUUUGCUUCAUAUGCCAUCAGAUCACUCAAGCAAUGAAAAAUGUUAAAGAUUCAUAAAGUCCGUGAGAUGGAAGCCCUGACAGCACAACUUCCAAGGACUGCUACAGCACUGAGGUUUUUAAAUCUGGAUUUCUGACAUUCAAAUAUACUGUUGAACAAAUCAUGCAUGACAACUUCACAUGGAGGCUUCAUCAGCAAUCCUGGUACAUAAAAGAUACUAAACAUUGACGGAUGCCAUUAGUGUAGCCACUAUAGCUGUGGCUGUGUGCCGGAACAG